rnacentral:rRNA from 1 species
AAUGAACGUUAAACAUAUGCAAGUCGCACGCCAGUCCCACGAGGUGCAUAAAGACGUGAUGGCGGACGGGAGAGUAACGCGUGAGGGCGUGGCGGCAGGUCAGGCGGCACCGCUGGAAACGGUUACUUUUAACGGUUUUGCCUGGAGGUGAGCGCGUUUCUGCCUGGCGAGUUGCUCGCGUCGGAUUAGCAAGAUGGUAGGGUGUGGCUCUGCCAAGGCUAUGUUUGUUAGCUGGUCUUCAGGGGUGAUCAGCCAGAGUGGAGCUGAGCACGGCCCAGAUGCUGUGAGGGAGGUCGCUGUUGGGCAUUUUUUCUGCUCGGCGCAUGCCUGCCGCUGACGUGAUGCGUGCGUGGGAGCUGCUUUCUGGUCGUAAACCUUUUUUAUCAGGGAAGAACCCAAGGGGCUGUCCUGAGGGAAAAGCUUCGAUUAAUUCCGUGCCAGCAGCCGCGGUAAGACGGCGAAUUCAAGCUUUAUCCGGUAUGAUUGGGGUAACGGGUAGGUCGGUGUUAAUAUAAGGCUGGUUGUUAUGUGACGAGAUUCGGAUUGUUGUCGGGGUGGGCAGUCGAGCGAUAGGGUGAGUUCGGAGCAAAGGGCGUGUUUAGUGUAGAGGUGAGAUGUGUCGGUCUGAGGGCGACCCGCAGUUGCGUGUGCCUUUUGCUGGGGCAUAUCUGACGCUGAGGGCCGGUGGUAGGGGGAGGAAUGGGGGGAGGUCCUCUCGUCGUCUUUGCCUUCCCAGUUUGGUCUUCGGCCUUGCUUUAAUGGUCGGGAGAAAUGCAGGAAGUUCGGGAUUGCGUGCUACGGUUGUGGACUCGGCCUGAGUGUUUGAUGCUGGCUGGAACUGGCAGCAGGAGAGUCCGGUCGCGUGU